rnacentral:rRNA from 1 species
AAACCAGCACCUCAAGUGGUCAGGAUGAUUAUUGGGCCUAAAGCAUCCGUAGCCUGUUAUGUAAGUUUCCGGUUAAAUCCAUAUGCUCAACAUAUGGGCCGCCGAAAAUACUGUAGAACUAGGGAGUGGGAGAGGUAGACGGUAUUCGGUAGGAAGGGGUAAAAUCCUUUGAUCUAUUGAGGACCACCUGUGGCGAAGGCGGUCUACCAGAACACGCUCGACGGUGAGGGAUGAAAGCUGGGGGAGCAAACCGGAUUAGAAACCCGAGUAGUCC